GGAACGGAGGGCAGCCAAAAUGACCGCUGCGAAGACGCCAGCAGUCCUGCUGCGAGGGGUACGCCCACCCGGAAAUGUCUCUGUCUUGGACUUACGUUGGAUCAACGUACUGCCGCUCCACGCAAGGCUUUCUGGUGCUCUGUGAAAUUGCCAUACACUUACUACGGCAUGAGAUGUGAACAUAUCCUUAAGGAGGCCUUGACCCCCACCUACAUAGUGCAUAGUGAUCGGAUGUUCAUUUCAUUUCUACCAUUGAUGGCUCCCUGUCCUAUUAUCUCAUGAAAGACUUGCAUUAUCCAAGAUCCAUGUAAUUGCUGAACUGGGGUCAAGGAGAGAGUCCUUUGUGUAACACGGGAUGGACAUAACUCCAGCCAUGGCAAGAUGGGCUGAGAGGGCCUGGCCCUGCUGAAUGACAGCUGGGCUGUGUUCACAUCAUACAAGGAACCUGUUCAAACAAGUAUUUUGAUGGUAGUGCUGGUGGCCACACCAAAUUUCUGCCUUUCUUCCCCAUUCUUGAUACUUUGCCAGCUUGUGUUUACUCUUGACUUCUGCCACCUGGCUUUCUUGCCAACUUUCUGCCUCCAUGUGCCACCCAUUUCUCUCCUAAUUCCCCUGGAUAAGGUCAGGGGCAAAGGUGGUCAUCUGUGAGAGUCACUAUGCCUGGCACAGGAACUAACGGGGCUAGGCUUUAAAUGAAGAUUUAGUGGGGAAACAAGGAUAUGGCACCUGUGAUCUGCAACUUUGGCCCAUACAUCAUGUUUCAAAUGGUAUACAAGUAUCCUUAAACAGUCCUUGAAUACCAGCUACUCAUUUGCAAUUGGAUUUUUCUGCUCUUGGUUAAAACCUUCGGCACAGAAUUCACAUCACCAAAAACUAAGGCCCUGCUGGAAAUAACUCUCAGAGGAGUAAGGUGGAAGCCAUGUCUGCUUCUUCUCAUUUAUGUUGCACCCAUCCCUUUCUUGUGUCCUUUUUUUUUUUUUUUUUUGAGAUGGAGUCUUGCUCUGUUGCCCAGGCUGGAGUGCAGUGGCGUGAUCUUGGCUCAUUGCAACCUCUGCCUUCCAGGUUCAAGCAAUUCUCCUGCCUCAACCUCCUAAGUAGCUGGGAUUACAGAUGUGCACCAUAACGCCUGGCUAAUUUUUGUAUUUUUAGUAGAGACAAAGUUUCACCAUGUUGGUCAGGCUGGUCUCGAACUUCUGACCUCAUGAUCCACCCACCUCACCCUCCCGAAGUGCUGGGAUUACAGGCAUGAGCCACCAUGUCUGGCUGUAUAUCCUUCUUCUUGUGAGGCCUCUUGACUUCUGUAACCUAUAAAGUCCCAGUACUGCAAAGCAGCCCCUUCCUCAACGUGAUUCCAGCUCCGUUCUGAAAACAAUUCCAUGUACCCAUAGCGGCCUUAUACAAUUCCAUGUACACAAGGUUAUGGCCUUUGGUGUGUCAGACGCGUUUGUGAUAUGGCUGCCUCGUGCCUACAAAGACAGCGUGUACCUCACCAGUAUUUGCUUUCAGGUUGUUGGGGUGGAGUGUAUAAUGACGCACCUUCUCAGCAGUGUGAUUCUGUGGGCUCCAAAAGCACACUCAUCAGCCCACAAGGCUUGUCCCUGUGAGAUGUGUGUCCCUAUUACGGAAGAUAUAACAGGCAGAGCACCAAGGAAUACAUAGUGGGCAGAAAGUGUACACAUGUGGGACAUGUGAGAAACAAUUCCAUUUCAGUGCAAAUCUUUACCAACACUAGAGAGAGCACAGUGGAGAGAAAUUUUACAGCAAAGACAUGGACAGGGCCUCCUGUAGGAAGAGCUACAGAAUCUAUGCAUCGGGAAAGCCCUUCAUGUGUGGAGAGGUUGGGAAUGGCUCCCUGGCUUAUGAGGGCCUUCCUCAGCACCAGGCCACUGCCAAAGAACUGAAGCCACACUGUGGUGUACUGAGUGUGAGGAGGCCUUUCAGACUGACAAAUGUGAAUGUGGGGAAGCCUUCCACCACAAACAUACGCUUGUUCAGCACCAGAGAAUCCACACUGGAGAAGGACAGUGUGAGUGCAGUGAAUGUGGGAAAACCUUCAGCCACAAGCACACAAUUGUUCAGCACAAGACAGUCCACAAUGGAGAGAGGCCUUUUGAGUGCAGUGAAUGUGGGAAGGCCUUCGGGUUAAAAUAUAAGUUAGCAUCAGCGUACUCACACUGGAGAAAGGCCAAAACGGUGUAUUGAAUGUGGGGAAACUUUCAGGUACAAACCCAAACUUGUUCAGCACCAGAGAAUUCACAUGGAGCAAGAUGUUAUAAAUGUGCCGAAUAUGGGAAAUUCUUUUUUUUUUUUUUGAGAUGAAGUUUUGCUCUUGUUAUCCAGGCUGGAGUGCAAUGGUGCAAUCUUGGCUCACCAAACUCUGCCUCCUGGGUUCAAGCAAUUCUCCUGCCUCAGCCUCCCAAGUAGCUUGGACUACAGGCGCGCACCACCAUGCCCAGCGAAUUUUUGUAUUUUUAGUAGAGAAGGGGUUUCACCAUGUUGACCAGGAUGGUCUCGAUCUCCUGACCUUGUGAUCCACCCGCCUCGGCCUCCUAAAAUGCUGGGAUUAUAGGCUUGAGCCACCGCACCCAGCCAAAUGUGGGAGAUUCUUUACACAAAGUUCAAGUUUUGUUCAACACCAGAGAAUUCUUACUGCAUCAAGGCCUUACCAAUAUGAAUGUGGGAGAUCCUUUAGCCAAAGCCCCAUGCUCAGUCAACACCAGAGAGUUGACACUGGAGAAAGGCCUCAUGAAUGCAGCGAAUGUGGGAAAUGCUUUAGCCAAACCACAGCCUGAUCCAACACCAUAAACCACACCAGAUAAAGGCUUCAUCAAUACAGUCAAUCCAGUUUGCAGUCUACUGUAAUUCAACGACAAAAACCUUACACCCCAGAUAUUUUCAUGAAUUUCGUGAAUGCAUGAAAGCUUUUAGCCAAAGAUCUGGCCUUAUUCAACACAAGAAAUUCCACACGAGAAUGGCUUUAGGCCUUCUGGGAGUGUGCGCCUUUUUGUCAAUGUGACAGCACUAGACACCCUUUGUGAUGGAGUCAUCUGCUUGAAUUUGAACUUCAUACAUCUGAACAUCCAUUUUCAGGAGAUUCUCCAUGAAUUCCAGGUAUGUGAGACGUUUUCAGGAGUUGCAUUCUGCACUUUAACCUGUCCAGGACUCUUGCCAGAAUUAUGUGAUCGCCAGGUUCUGUCGCAGAAGCCAUCUUACCUGUAUCACCUGGCAGGUCUACACAUCAGUCAGCAGAGCAUGCUUAGAGAAGACUAAUGUUUGUGUUCUCUCUCCCAUCGUCUGGAGGAAUCAUAGUUUGAUCCCUCAGUGGACUCUUACUCUCUUAUCUCUCACUAGUUUUGGCCCAAAGGACCUAGUCAAGGUACUCCUGGUGGCUUAUAAAAUGUUGCCUUCUUCAUGGUAUUGUUUAUCUCACAUGGUAUUUUUUUAUGGAUUUUCUAGCCUCCAAGUCAUAGACCAACAAACUGCCUGACAUUGUUCUGGUCUGUGCAGUAAUAAAAAUCUAAGUCACGUUUAAUCUUUUUUUUUUUUUUUGAGAUGGAGUCUCACUCUGAUGCCCAGAACUGGAGUGUAGUGGUGCGAUCUUGGCUCACUGUAACCUCUGCCUCCCAGGUUUAAGCAAUUUCCUGCCUCAGCCUCCCAGGUAGCUGGGAUUAUAGGUACCCGCCACCACGCCCAGCUAAGUUUUGUACUUUUAGUAGAGACUGGUUUCACCAUCUUGGCCAGGUUGGUCAUCCAGGCACCUGACCUAAGUAAUGUGUAAUCUUAAGAGUUCUUGGCUAGGCACAGUGGCUGAUACCUGUAAUCCCAGCACUUUGGGAGGCCGAGGCGGGCGGAACAUGAGAUCAGGAGAUUGAGACCAUCCUGGCCAACAUGGUGAAACCCCGACUCCACUAAAAAUACAAAAAUUAGCCAGGUGUGAUGGUGCACGCCUGUAAUCUCAGCUACUAGGGAGGCUGAGGUGCGAGAAUCACUUGAACCUGGGAAGCAGAGGUUGCAAUGAGCUGAGAUAACACCCCUGCACUCCAGCCUGGUGACAGAGUGAGACUCUUUCUUAGAAAAAAAAAAAAAAUCAGUUCUCUUCACUGUAUGUGGUGGGUUGAAAAUAUAACUAGGUUCCGCCAGUGUGAAGGGGCGAGCAGUUUUUUUGAGAGCCUCAACUUUAUGUGCCUCCGAGGGAACAAUACGAUGUCUUUCCAACCUUGGAGUAAGGGAAGGUACUGAAGAGUGAGUUCAACCACCAGUGACCAGUGAUUUAGUCAAUUAAGUCUACAUAAAAAAGCCUGAAUUAAACACCCUUCACCUCACGAUUUGGGAAGCUUCUGGGUUGGUGAGCAUAUCCAUGUACUAGGAGGGGGUUGCACACCAACUCUAUGGAAACAAGGGCUUCUAAAUAUGGGAUUCUCCCUGACCUCAUCUUCAUCUGGCUGUUUGUUUGUACUCUUUUAUAAAAAGCUAAUAGUAAAAAUAGCAGUUUCGAGUUCUGUGAGUUAUUCCAACAAAUUACUAGACUUGGUGAGGGUUGGGGCUGGAUCAUGAGAACAAUUUGUAGUUCACCUGGCAGAAGUGUAGGUAGCAUGGAGACCUCAUCUGCAGCUGGUAUCUGAAGUGAGGACAGUCCUGUGGGAUUAAAUUCUUAACCUGGUGAGGUCUGUGCUACUGGGUAAUUAGUGCUAGAGCUGAAUUAAAUUUGUAGGUUACCCAAUUUUUGUCAGAGAAUUGAUGUAGAAAUGGCAAAUUUGGUGUCAGAAAAAAACACAUUUGGUGUCAGAAAAUGUGGGAAUUUGUAGAAGGGCCCUGACUCAUAAGUAAACUUGGUUUUGAAAGAGAAAGGAUGACAGGGGAAAUGAGGAACCUUUAGUUCCUGGAUAGCCAUCUAAUUUUCCAUGGUAUGAAACUGAAUCUUCUCUGUAACCAGUUACUAAAGGCAAAAAUUACCAGUAGAUUUUAGAAAUGGUUAUAUAGAUCCAACUUUCAAGUAGAUGGCUCAUCGGAUACCUAAGGAAAUGCAAACAAAACCUGCCAAACAUAUAAUCCUGUACUUAAUGUUACCCAAAAUAGCUCAUUUUUUUUUUUUUUUGAUACAGAGUUUCACUCUUGUUGCCCAGGCUGGAGUGCAAUGGUGCAAUCUCAGCUCACUGCAACCUCCACCUCCAGGGUUCAAGUGAUUCUCCUGCCUCAGCCUCCCGAGUAGCUGGGAUUACAGACAUGCGCCACCAUACCUGGCUAAUUUUGUAUUUUUAGUAGACAGGAUUUUUCAGUGUUGGUCAGGCUGGUCUCAAACUCCCGACUUCAGGUGAUCCUCCCACCCUGGGUUCCCAAAGUGCUGGCAUUACAGGCGUGAGUCACUGUGCCCAGCCAGAACAGCUAAAAUUUAAAGAGUGCCAAGUCAGACCAUGAUGCUUGACCAAGCUCAGACUGUCAUUUGUCUGAGCUUCGGCUACUAGGUUCAGAGCCACCCACAAAGGGGAAAAAUAUACCGGGAUAACAGAGAGCACCUCUAAGACCUAACCGGUAAGGUCACAAGAAGGUAGUCCGUGUGAAGGAAGAACAAAAGCAGCAAACCACUGAAACCAGAGGGUAUAAUGAGAAGGGGCUGUCUUGCUUUUUAGAACAGUAUCAUCGGUUUGAAGAAUCUUUGCUAAAAUGAAGUGUGAGAGGGACUGAAUUAGGAACGGUAUCUUCGGCUCUGAAUGCUGCAGAAUGGAAAAGCAGGUUUGCGUUGGUAUUGGACCCACAGCUAACCUGAGCAAUCGCAGGGAGUUUCGCAUCACACUGCAGAUGGCUAUCCAUGAUCCACACAUACAGUGGUUUAUUUAUGUGGCAACGAACUGCUGAUGAACUGUCAGGUAUGUCUACUCUGAGAAGGGACACUUCAGACUCCCCGAUAAAUGCCAAGUGGAACACCCCAGUGGAAGCAGCUGAUCCACUUUCUAUGCAGGGCCUGUAGGACUGGCUUUAUGAUGACCAGGAUAUUCACCCACUGAAAAUGUCUGUUUCUCGGAUUAUGGCAAACGCUGUGAGGAAAGAGGUCGCCUUUGCAUGGGUACCCAUUGUAAUCUUAACUGCUACAAAACUGACCAGUCUGAGAAGCCUUAUUGGAUUUGUCUCAGGUUCCCUGUGUGGGUCUUAUGGAUAUCAACACCACUGAUUAACGUAAGAGGGAGAGAAGCGGGCAGGGCAGGGGGAGCAGAGUCAAGAGACGUGACUUUCGAGUGCAGCAGGAUUUCAGUAGUUUCGUGGGUUUCUCCUCCUCUCACAUGGGCUACCUUUUUACUGACCAGAGAGGUCUUAGACUUGCUCUCUGUUGGACCCAGGAUAUUUUUUUCCUUUGGCAGGUGGCUUUAGAUCUAGCAGGUUUCAACAGUGAAGUAUUUUUUUUAUUAUUUUUCUUGGGUGGGGACAUAGCCAAAGCGAAAAGUCUUUAGAUUAUUGGGAAAUGGAAUGCGUAUAGUAAAAAUGGAUGGGAUUGAAACAAAGAUUUGAUCCGGUACUGCUGAAGGUCGGGUGGACCUGUAUGGGCUCUGUGCUAACUGGGUAGUGUCGGAACUGAAUCGCAGGACACCCACUUAGUUUGGAAAAUUGAAUUGGUGUUGUAACAGCAUGGGGUAUCAAAAGCAGUCACAUUCUGCAGAUGGCUUUGUAGGAAAGACUGCAGGGGUUUGUGGUCCUGGUUUAAGACCUCGAUACCAGGAUAUUUUUGUAGUCCCAGAGAUCACCCUGAGGAGGGUAUAAUUGUUCUGACAACCUACAGGGAUUCUGGGAGAAGCAUGUAUUCGUUUGUUUUCAUAGGAUGUCACAUAAUGCCCAACAUUGUUAAAAAGAAGCUAUUUCUCACGUCCUGCAACAGAAACAUGUGUCCUGGUUUCCGGAAUUCAGUUGGCUACUUUUUUUUUUUUGAGGCAGAGUCUCGCUCUGUCACCCAGGAUGGAGUACAGUGGCGUGAUCUCGGCUCACUAUGACCUCCGCCUCCUGGGUUCAAGUGAUUCUCCUGCCUCAGCCUCCAGAAUAGCUGGGACUACAGGCGCGCACCACUACACUCAGCUAAUUUUUCAUAUUUUUAGUAGAGACAGAGUUUCACCAUGUUGGCCAGGCUGGUCUUGAACUCCUGUCCUUGUGAUCCACCCGCCUCAGCCUCCAAAAGUGCUGGGAUUACAGGCAUGAGCCACCACGCCCGGCCCAGUUGGCUAUUUGUAAGACUACAGGUGCCAAAGGAAACUGAUUUCUACAGAUACUUGGCAUUAAUAAGCAGUGGAGGAGACUGCAGUAAACUAGAGGGAACAUCCCUCUUCUAAAAGUGCAGCCACAAAUAUUUCAGUGACCAUCAUGUCUGUUCAGGAGGAGCAAGGAGAGACGUUCUUAGGACCUCUGUACCUGCAUUUUCUGCAGCUGGGGUAACUGUCAGAGCUAAUGAACUCAAAGUUUUAUGGACUCCUAUAACCUCUGCAUUUCACCGUAAGGUCAUGGCUGCAUUGUCGAGAAAAUGAUGGCAGAUGCCUUUGGUUUGGGAAUAUGGGUUUUGUGACCAGCCAGCAUUCCUGUUGACUGAGAAAUGAUCAUCUUUGGUCAGCAGUAUUUUCUGCUACUGAUGAAGGACUGCUCUUUCUAGGGCAACAAGAGAGGUGAUGGAGGAAACAUAGGAUUGUCAAACUUUCUGGUUUUCUCAAGAGGGGGAUAAUCUAGACUUACUUUAAACCACCUGCAUUUUUAAAAACGUGGGGCAUAUAUAUAAACUCAUGAAACUACUAUGAUAAUGAACAAGUUCAUCAUCUUCAUAAUCAUCCUGUACCCUUCUAGACUCUAUCCUGCCUCUGAACUCCCCAGCACUCCAGGUUAUUUAUUUACUUUCACUUUGUUUCCAUUUCCUCUUUUUUUUUUUCUUUCUAUUUCUAAAUGUAAACAAAUGUUUGCAUUUCCUAAAUUUUAAGAGAUGGGGUCUCGCUAUGUUGCCCAGGCUGGAGUUCAGUGGCUAUUCACAGGUGCGAUCCCACUACUGACCAGCGCGGGAGUUUUGACCUGCUCAGUUUCUGACCUGGGCCGGUUCACCCUCCUUAGGCAACUUGGUGGUCUCCUGCUCCCAGGAGGUCACCAUAUUGAUGCCGAACUUAGCAUGGCCACUCGAUCGGCAUAGUGCAUUACAGCCCAGAACUCCUGGGCUCAAGCGAUCCUCCCAUCUCAGCUUCCCGAGUAGCUGGGACUACAGGCACAUGCCACCGUGCCCAGCACAUUACCUAAAAUUUUAUGUGGUUGCAAUCACAAAGCAUGGACCUUCAAAAAAAAAUUCUGAGGUUCUUCACACUGCAUAAUUAUUUUGAGAUAUUUUCAGUGAUGUUUAUUUGAAUAGUUCAUUCUUUUUAUUGCUAAUAGUCUGUCCUAUGGAUAUACCACUAAUUGUUUAUCCAUUCAUCUGUUAAUGGACAUUUAAAUAAAGUGGUGUAUUUAUAGUUUGAUAUUAAGAUACAAGCUUAAACUUUUGAAACCAAAAAAUUCUUUCUGCCCUUUUACCUGAUCCACCUUACCAUGUGAGAUACAGACAUACAGUAUACUUUUUACUGGGUAGUUUCAAAUGGGAACAAACGGAAUGCGUUAUGAAGCUCCAUGACCAUUUUCAAUGAUCAGUAAUGAUUAAAUGACUAUGAUCCUUAUUACUGAACAUUUCAUACCUGUUCUUGUUUCAUCUAUCUCCAAACAUAUUACUGGGUUGUUUUACUCAUAAUCGAGGUAUCAUGUCAUUUAAUCCCUACGCUCUUCAGUAUGCAUUUCCAAUGUGUUUUUUUUUUUUUUUUUGAGACGGAGUUUCGCUCUUGUUACCCAGGCUGGAGUGCAAUGGCACGAUCUCGGCUCACCGCAACCUCCGCCUCCUGGGUUCAGGCAAUUCUCCUGCCUCAGCCUCCCGAGUAGCUGGGAUUACAGGCACGCGCCACCGUGCCCAGCUAAUUUUUUUGUAUUUUUAGUAGAGAUGGGGUUUCACCAUGUUGACCGGGAUGGUCUCGAUCUCUUGACCUCGUGAUCCACCUGCCUCGGCCUCCCAAAGUGCUGGGAUUACAGGCUUGAGCCACCGUGCC